UCCUGGCUCAGAUUGAACGCUGGCGGCAUGCUUUACACAUGCAAGUCGAACGGGGUUGGGAGCUUGCUUCCAAUCUAGUGGCGAACGGGUGAGUAAUACAUCGGAACGUACCGUGUAGUGGGGGAUAACGUAGCGAAAGUUACGCUAAUACCGCAUACGAUCCACGGAUGAAAGCAGGGGACCUUCGGGCCUUGUGCUAUACGAGCGGCCGAUGUCUGAUUAGCUAGUUGGUGAGGUAAAGGCUCACCAAGGCGACGAUCAGUAGCGGGUCUGAGAGGAUGAUCCGCCACACUGGGACUGAGACACGGCCCAGACUCCUACGGGAGGCAGCAGUGGGGAAUUUUGGACAAUGGGCGCAAGCCUGAUCCAGCCAUGCCGCGUGUCUGAAGAAGGCCUUCGGUUGUAAGGACUUUGUCAGGAGCGAAACUACUAGGUUAAUACCUGGUGAGGUUGAGAGUACCU
rnacentral:rRNA from 1 species